CCAAUCAAGUGCGCGCAUGCGCAACGCUUUUCGAGUUUUCUUUGCCACUUUUCGAUAUUCGGUUUUCGCAAUUGCAGGCGGGUUGCGAACCUGGCUAAGCUUCUGGCAAAUUCUAGUCAUUGGGCAAUUGGCAAUUGGCAGCACAAUACAAAUGGCUAACAAAACGCAGUGCGAAGUCAAUAAACCUUAUUAGCCUGCAUAUCCAACAACAGUUGCACAAAGAGGCAGCCAGCAUAGAGAACUUAGUGGCAAAAUGGGAGCGGCGAUAAAACAAAUGCAAUUUUUAUCGCAAUGCCUAGCUGUGCGUAUAUGUAUGCAUUUAGUUAUUUAACACACGUCCGCAGAGCUGAAUAAAGUGCAGCAGCGAUGAGAGCCGGGCGACCACAACAAAACCUUCAGCGGAUUGAGCCUCCAUACUCCAAGUCCCGCCCCUUUUACCGCCCAGCCGUCCGAGUCAACGAACCCCAAUGUAAGCAGGCAGUAAAAGUCCGUUCAUCGUUUUUCCCGCGGCAUUUUAGGCGGUGAAGCUGGUGGUGGGAAAAAAAUACAUAGUAGUGGUAAUAAACAAUAAACAAGGCAGCUCAUCAUCGUUGUUGCUGCAGCUGAUAGUGCAAAUAUCCACAAUAAAGAGCAAACAAUCAA